rnacentral:rRNA from 1 species
UACGUAGGGUGCGAGCGUUAAUCGGAAUUACUGGGCGUAAAGCGUGCGCAGGCGGUGAUGUAAGACAGGUGUGAAAUCCCCGGGCUUAACCUGGGAACUGCAUUUGUGACUGCAUCGCUGGAGUGCGGCAGAGGGGGGAUGGAAUUCCGCGUGUAGCAGUGAAAUGCGUAGAUAUGCGGAGGAACACCGAUGGCGAAGGCAAUCCCCUGGGCCUGCACUGACGCUCAUGCACGAAAACGUGGGGAGCAAACAGG